rnacentral:rRNA from 1 species
GACGAACGCUGGCGGCGUGCCUAAUACAUGCAAGUAGGACGCAGUUGCGAACGGGUGAGUAACGCGUAGGUAACUGCCUCUUAGAGGGGGGUAACUAUUGGAAACGAUAGCUCAUACCGCAUACUAGUAGAUGGACCUGCGUUGUAUUAGCUAGUAGGUAGGGUAAUGGCCUACCUAGGCGCCGAUACAUAGCCGACCUGGGAGGGUGGUCGGCCAAACUGGGACUGAGACACGGCCCAGACGCCCACGGGGGGCAGGAGUAGGGAAUCUUUGGCAAUGGGGGGAAACCUGACCGAGCAACGCCGCGGGAGGGAAGAAGGUUUUCGGAUCGUAAAGCUCUGUUGUUAAGGAAGCGGUACUUAACCAGAAAGGGACGGCUAACUACGUGCCAGCAGCCGCGGUAAUUC